rnacentral:rRNA from 1 species
CCUACGGGCGACUGCAGUGAGGAAUAUUGGUCAAUGGACGUGAGCCUGAACCAGCCAAGUCGCGUGAGGGAUGAAUGUUCUAUGGAUCGUAAACCUCUUUUAUAAGGGAAUAAAGUGCGGGACGUGUCCCGUUUUGUAUGUACUUUAUGAAUAAGGAUCGGCUAACUCCGUGCCAGCAGCCGCGGUAAUACGGAGGAUCCGAGCGUUAUCCGGAUUUAUUGGGUUUAAAGGGUGCGUAGGCGGGUUUUUAAGUCAGCGGUGAAAGUCUGUGGCUCAACCGUAGAAUUGCCAUUGAUACUGGGAGUCUUGAGUAUGGUUGAGGUAGGCGGAAUGCGUGGUGUAGCGGUGAAAUGCUUAGAUAUCACGCAGAACCCCGAUUGCGAAGGCAGCUUGCUAAGCUAUGACUGACGUUGAUGCACGAAAGCGUGGGGAUCAAACAGGAUUAGAUACCCGUGUAGUC